rnacentral:lncRNA from 1 species
GUGCGGGGCGGGGCCUGCGUGGGGCUCGGGGCGCACGUGUCGCGGGAAAUGGAGUGGACACCGGGGGCUUCAGGGGAAGACAUCCAAACGACCGGGAGUCACGCGUGGACUCUUUCGCGCGAGGGCUUCUGGAAUCCAUUUUGUCCGUAGAGUGGAUAGAAGCCCCUGAAUCGUAUUUCUGGAGGCAGCCCUACCCAGCCACUGCCAGGAAAUUACCAAGCAUGUCCUGAAGAUGAAGAUACUCUCAGCCUAACGUCUCCAAGCAAAUAUUGAUUCAGCAGUAUCCCCAGGCAAAGCCACACCAUAUAUCAGUGAACAGAGAAACAACUGCCCUUCUCCGGGCCCCUGUCUGAGAAGCUGGAGCAUCAGCCCUGGAGCUCUCCGGAGCAGUUUCCUUGCUCACUGUCCCCAGCUGAACACAGCCGCAUGCAGAGGUCCAAAGCACGUAAACAGGAUACCCACCCUGCAUUAUCUUAUAUUUUAAGUCAAUAUGAAGAUGGACAUUCUACCCCUGAGACCAAUUUCGAUCAAAUACUUUUGUCAAUAAAAAGAUACUAAUGUCC